CGAGUAGAUUGCCUUAUCGCUAAAUGCCCAACUUGAUUGGGUAUUUAGAGGAAAGUCCGAACACCGUAGUGCAACAUAGUGGUUAAUGGCCAUCAGUCGUGAGGCUAGGAAAAGUGCAACAGAAAGUAUGUACAGGUAAUGCUGUAGUGAAACCGGGUAAACUCUAUGUGGUGCAAUGUCAUGUAAACCAACGUUUGAGGGCGGCACGCUCGAUUGUUGGAGGGUAGGCAGCUAAAGUGUACUGGUAACAGUGCUCGCAGAUAAAUGAUAGGGGUGUUUUUCUUGUGGAUGAGAUUCUGAAACAAGUUUAGAACAUACAGAAUUCGGCUUAUAGAUUUACUUAAAAA
rnacentral:RNase_P_RNA from 1 species